rnacentral:rRNA from 1 species
UUUCCGUAGGUGAACCUGCGGAAGGAUCAUUGUCGAUUCCUGCACAGCAGCACGACCCGUGAACGUUAAUAACAAUGUGCCGAGUUGGAAUUGUGUCGUUACGCCCCAUUCCCUCUUCGGUUGGCCCUUGCGGCCGUCAUAACCAAACCCCGGCGCGGACUGCGCCAAGGAACUUGAUCACAUAAUACGUCUGCCCCGCGCACCCAGAAAUGGGGGCGCCGGGGAUCAAGCGUUGAAAUGAAUCUAAAAUGACUCCCGGCAACGGAUAUCUCGGCUCUUGCAUCGAUGAAGAACGUAGCGAAAUGCGAUACUUGGUGUGAAUUGCAGAAUCCCGUGAACCAUCGAGUAUUUGAACGCAAGUUGCGCCCCAAGCCUUUGGGCCGAGGGCACGUCUGCCUGGGUGUCACGCAUUGUAGCCCCCCCACCCUUGUGGUAAUGUCUGUGAGGGCUGUGUGCGGCUGAUAUUGGCCUUCCCGUAUGCACAGCAAUGCGGUUGGCCCAAAUGGAGGAACCCAGGGCGGUGUAUGCCAUGAUGAGCGGUGGUGUGUGCUUAGCCUGCCGUCGUUAGAGCAUCAUGUGCAUCAUGCCCUUGAGGUGUGUUUCGUGGACAACCCCGAUGCAAUCAUAGCGCGCAUUGCGACCCCAGGUCAGGCGGGAGCACCCGCUGAGUUUAAGCAUAUC